CUCUGAUGUUAGCGGCGGACGGGUGAGUAACACGUGGGUAACCUACCUAUAAGACUGGGAUAACUCCGGGAAACCGGGGCUAAUACCGGAUAAUAUUUUGAACCGCAUGGUUCAAUAGUGAAAGACGGUUUCGGCUGUCACUUAUAGAUGGACCCGCGCCGUAUUAGCUAGUUGGUAAGGUAACGGCUUACCAAGGCGACGAUACGUAGCCGACCCUGAGAAGGUGUGUAUCCGGUCCACAGACACUGACACACCGCCCCAGACUCCUACGGGAGGCAGCCUUAAGGAAUCCUCCCCAAUGGGGCAAAACCCGGACGGAGCAUCGCCCCUUGAGGGAUGAAGGCCUUCGUUUCUUAAACUCCGAUGGUAAGGAAGAAAUAAUUCGUUUGUCACUGAACCCCUCUUGGCGGAAACCUACCCGGAAAAGCCACGGCUAACUACGUGCCAGUCAGCCGCGGGUAUUACGUACGGUGGCAAGCGUUAUCCGGAAUUAUUGGGCGUAAAGCGCGCGUAGGCGGUUUCUUAAGUCUGAUGUGAAAGCCCACGGCUCAACCGUGGAGGGUCAUUGAAAACUGAGCAAACUUGAGUGCAGAAGAGGAGAGUGGAAUUCCAUGUGUAGCGGUGAAAUGCGCAGAGGAUAUGGAGGGAACACCAGUGGCGAAGGCGGCUUUCUGGUCUGUAACUGACGCUGAUGUGA
rnacentral:rRNA from 1 species